rnacentral:rRNA from 1 species
AAUGGGGAAACCCAGUGUGAUUCGUCACACUAUCAUUAACUGAAUCCAUAGGUUAAUGAGGCGAACCGGGGGAACUGAAACAUCUAAGUACCCCGAGGAAAAGAAAUCAACCGAGAUUCCCCCAGUAGCGGCGAGCGAACGGGGAGCAGCCCAGAGCCUGAAUCAGUGUGUGUGUUAGUGGAAGCGUCUGGAAAGGCGCGCGAUACAGGGUGACAGCCCCGUACACAAAAAUGCACAUGCUGUGAGCUCGAUGAGUAGGGCGGGACACGUGGUAUCCUGUCUGAAUAUGGGGG